rnacentral:rRNA from 1 species
AGAAUCAACGCUGGCGGCGUGCCUAACACAUGCAAGUCGCACGAGAAAGGGGGAGCAAUCCCUGAGUAAAGUGGCGCACGGGUGAGUAACACGUGAAUAAUCUACCUCCGAGUGGGGGAAUAACUGAGAGAAAUCUUAGCUAAUACCGCAUAACACUUACGAGUCAAAGCAGCAAUGCGCUUGGAGAGGGAGUUCGGCGGCCGAUUAGUUAGUUGGCGGGGUAAUGGCCCACCAAGCGAUGAUCGGUA